rnacentral:sRNA from 1 species
GCUAGGUGUGGUGGUGCACACCUGUAAUCCCAGCUACUCGGAAGGCUGAGGUUUCAGGUUUUAAGGCAGCCUGGGCAACCUCGU